rnacentral:rRNA from 1 species
GAUGAACGCUAGCGGCAGGCCUAACACAUGCAAGUCGAGGGGUAACUAGAGUGAUAGCAAUAUUACUUUGGCUAGACCGGCGCACGGGUGCGUAACACGUAUGCAACCUACCUUAUACUGGGGAAUAACUUCGAGAAAUCGGCGCUAAUACCCCAUAACACUGCGGAGAGGCAUCUCUUUGCAGUUAAAGCUCCGGCGGUAUAAGAUGGGCAUGCGUCCAAUUAGCUAGUUGGUGAGGUAACGGCUCACCAAGGCUACGAUUGGUAGGGGUUCUGAGAGGAUGAUCCCCCACACUGGUACUGAGACACGGACCGGACUCCUACGGGAGGCAGCAGUGAGGAAUAUUGCGCAAUGGACGAAAGUCUGACGCAGCCAUGCCGCGUGCAGGAUGACGGCCCUAUGGGUUGUAAACUGCUUUUGUACGGGAAUAAACCCUUCUACGUGUAGGAGGCUGAAGGUACCGUGAGAAUAAGCACCGGCUAACUCCGUGCCAGCCGCCGCCGUA